ACCUGGAGAGCAACCGCAUCUCAAAUGUCGUCAAGAGAAGUCCUUGAAGUUCGUGUGGAACAGCUUUUACUUAAUUACAAUCACAUCGAGAGUGUGGAGGAGGAAGCCUUCUCUGGGUCGGCCAUUGGAAGACUGAGCUUCAGGGCAA